rnacentral:rRNA from 1 species
AUGAAGACCUUUCUCAUCCUUGCCCUCCUUGCUAUCGUGGCGACCACCGCCACAACUGCAGUUAGAGUUCCAGUGCCACAAUUGCAGCCACAAAAUCCAUCUCAGCAACAGCCACAAGAGCAAGUUCCAUUGGUACAACAACAACAAUUUCCAGGGCAGCAACAACAAUUUCCACCACAACAGCCAUAUCCGCAGCCGCAACCAUUUCCAUCACAACAACCAUAUCUGCAACUGCAACCAUUUCCGCAGCCGCAACCAUUUCCGCCACAACUACCAUAUCCGCAGCCGCAAUCAUUUCCACCACAACAACCAUAUCCACAACAGCAACCACAGUAUCUACAACCACAACAACCAAUUUCGCAGCAACAAGCACAACAACAACAACAACAACAACAACAACAACAACAACAACAACAAAUCCUUCAACAAAUUUUGCAACAACAACUGAUUCCAUGCAGGGAUGUUGUCUUGCAACAACACAACAUAGCGCAUGCAAGCUCACAAGUUUUGCAACAAAGUACUUACCAGCUAUUGCAACAAUUGUGUUGUCAACAACUGUUGCAGAUCCCUGAGCAGUCGAGGUGCCAAGCCAUCCAUAAUGUUGCUCAUGCUAUUAUUAUGCAUCAACAACAACAACAACAACAAGAACAACAACAACAGUUGCAACAACAACAACAGCAGCAACUGCAUCAACAACGACAACAACCAUCGAGCCAGGUCUCCUUCCAACAGCCUCAGCAGCAAUAUCCAUCAAGCCAGGUCUCCUUCCAGCCAUCUCAGCUAAACCCACAGGCUCAGGGCUCUGUCCAACCUCAACAACUGCCCCAGUUCGCGGAAAUAAGGAACCUAGCGCUACAGACGCUACCUGCAAUGUGCAAUGUCUACAUCCCUCCACAUUGCUCGACCACCAUUGCGCCAUUUGGCAUCUUUGGUACCAACUGA